GGUCUACCCGCGGCGUAGUAAAGCCCAGCUCGUCGCUCGAAUCCGAGUCAUUGUUCGCCAUCUUUUCACGCAGUUAACAUCGUCGGAGUGCUGCUCUCUGCCCGUUCAACUUGUGGAAAAAAAUAUUCAAUCUCAAAAUUUAAAAUUCUCUUAGACUAGAGAAUUUAAAGUGCUUAAAUCAGUUGUAGUGAUCCAUUUGUGCAGUUGUAAUAUCUUUUAAAACUCCAAAAUGACUGAAACCGACAAGAAAGCAGAACAAUCCACCGGAGCAGAAACCGAGGGCCCGAAGCCUGAUGCUGAGCAUCAGCGUAAGAUCAAUGUCGCCAACUUGCCAUGGGAUGUGACUGAGCAGCAGUUGCGCGAUUUGUUCAGCGGUCAUGAGGUUGAAAAGGUGGAAAUUUACCACUACCGCAAGUACACGCUGGCCCUGGUCCUGUUCAAGGACAAGGACACCGCCGCCGCGGCUCUGGCAGAUAAGGAGAACGCUAUGUUCCGCGACCGCCGUCUACGCAUGCACAUGGAAUUCACCACCAUCCGCCACAUCAAGCGUGAAGUCGUCGUGACCGUCAUUGAAGAUGAGAACAUGACCGAAGAGCAACUGUGGGAUAAGGUCAAGGCUGCUGGCGUGGAGCCAACUUCGGUGCUGAUCUUCCACCCGUUGGGCUACGUUACCCUGGAGAAGGAGUGUGACAAGCCUGCCCUUCUCGAGAAAUUGAAGACUGCUGGAUUCAAUGUGCAUGACGUAAACCAGCGUGAUCAGAACCAGCAUUUGGACAUCUGGCGUGCGGCUAAAUUGUUCUUCCGCAACCGCAAUCGCGUCCAGCUGUUGAAUAUCCCCAACAAGUGGAUUGAAGAUAAGGAGGAGAUGAAGAAGCAGUGCGCCGAAGGCGGUACUAUUACCGAAGCUGUUUCGAACAAUGUCACUCAAAAUCCCGUGGUGGCUUCCAACUAUGCCCGUAUCUUCUACGAAACCGAAGAACAGGCCGCCAAGGCUGCAAAAGCUCUGAAUGGACGCGUUGUUGAAGGUAAGCGUAUCCAUGCUUUGCAUCUGGGAUCUGCUUUGAUGCCUAACUACAAGACUUCGGUCUAUGUAACGGCCUUGGACAGGGGUGUUACCGAAGAGCAGGUGUACGACCAUUUCAAGCAGUUUGGCGAAAUCGAGUUUACCAACCGUCGCAACUGCGGCGAUGCUGCUAUCAUCUGCUUCAAGAACGCUGCUUCUGCUGAAAAGGCACUUGCGUGCACCACCUUCCCGGCUCCUACCGAAGAAAACAAGGAUGCUACCAAGGAGGUCGCUGUUAAGAAAUACGAUGGCCCAUUGGUGCUGCGCCCGGUUGCCCUUAAGCGCAAGCUGAAGCCCGGAGAAGAAGAAAAGGAUCAGGCUGAAAAAACCAAGGAGCAACAAAGUGUGCUGAAUAAGCUGAAGGCUUACCACCCGAUCUACGUUGGCAAUGUGCCGUUGAACUGUCCUCCUUUGGAACUGAAGCACUACUUUGCCCAGCACGGACCAAUCAAGUUCAUGUUCUCACCCCAGAUUCUGUCCUACCGCAACAGCGCACCACAUCCCGUCAAGACGUUUAUCAUCUACUAUAUGAACCGUGUCAGCCAGCAGAAUGCUGUUCGCUUCUUCGAUCAUAAGUUCUUCGGUGGCCACCGUCUGCAUGUGCUUCCUCUGCGCGGAACACAAAACAUGGACGUCAAGAAGACCAUCAAGAUGACCAAAAUUCCAUUCAUGUCCGAGGACGCCUUGUUCAAGAAGAUCAAGCCUUUCGUUGGCAAGAUCAAUCGCAUCGUUAAGAAGGCUCGAUUGGCCGCGUACAUUGAGCUGGAAGACACCGCCGAUGUCGACAAAAUGAUGAACACGGAAACUGCUGACCAUCCGUUGCCAAAAGGCAAGAUGGAACAGCUCAAGACCCCAAUCAGCACUCGCGUGUACAAUGAGGAUGAUGUUCGUGUAUUGAACGGCAUCGCCAAAAUUGUCGCCAAAAAUCCAGAUAUGCUGAAGAAAACUCCUCUUCCACCACCCAACAAGCGCCCACGAAUGGACUUUGGCGGUCCAGGUUUUGAUCAAGGCCCUGGAGGCUUCAAUCCCAAUAUGAACAAUCCAAAUGCUAUCCAAGAUUUGUUGCGCCUUGCGUUCAUGUCCGGCAAGAACGUUGGCGAGAAUCUGGCUUCUAACCAGAGCUCGUUCGGACCCGAUCCACCAGUCGCCAAUUCUAACAAUUUUGGCGACGGUGGUUUCGGUAACCGUAACCGCAAUAAUCAAGGCGGUAAUCAAGGCAACUUCCGUGGCCAAGGAAGAAUGAACCAGAAUCAGAACCGUGGCAAUAAUGCCGGUAAUUUCGGUGGCAACAAUAAUGCCGGAGGUAACAACUUCCAAGGUUCCCCCGGAAAUCAAAACCGUGGUGGACAAAACAUGAAUCGUGGUAAUCAGCAGAACCAGAACCGUGGUGGUAACAUGAAUCAAGGCAACAACAUGAAUCAGAGCGGCGGAAAUGUUAAUCGCCCGCAACAAAAUAAGCCAAUGAAUAUGAAUACCGGUAACCAAAAUCAAAAUCGCAACAACCAGGUUGGUGGUGGCAAUAUGAACCGCAACCAAAAUAACCGCAACUUCGACAAUGACAAUUCCUUUGGCGGAGGAAACAACUUUGGCAACAACCGCAACAACAAUUUUUCCAAUGAUAGUUUUGGCAACGACGAUAAUAACUUUGGUAACAAUAGCAGUAAUAACUUCUCGAGUGACAACUUCGGUGGCAAUACCAACCGCAACUUCGGUGGUAACAAGCGCAACCAGAACGAUAACUUCAACUCGUUCGGUAGCGGAAACAAUAGUGGCAGCAGCGGUGGAAACAAUCGCUUCAAUAACGAUGGAAACAAUUUUAGUAGCAAUUUUAACAACCGCAACAACCAAAACAAUCGUUUUGACAACGACGAUAACAACUUCUCUGGCAACACUGGUGGUAAUAAGGGUGGCAAUUUCGGCAACCGUCAGAACAAGCCCUUCAACCAGGGUGGCAACCAGGGAGGCGGUAUGUCCUUUGGUGAAUUUAACUCGAACAAUUCCAACCGUGGUGGCAACUUCGGUGGAAACAAUUCCGGUUUCAAUUCUGGCAAUGCCGGUGGAAACAAAUGGAAUAACAAUUCCCAGCAAUCCAAUACUGGCAGCCGCCUCGCUGGUAGCAUUUUUAGCCGACGCUUCUAAACAGCUAAACCAAGAAAAGUUAAUUUUUACAAGAGAUUUGUGUCUUGUAUAUAGAAUCCAUUAGCUUCCCUUAAUCCCAACGUUAUCAGGGAUGAUGGAAAUCUGUCUGGGAAGCGUACUCUUUCUAGGUUUAGGCAGAACAAACUAAUGUAAUUUAUUUUUAAGUAAAUCACAAAUUUCUUAAACCAGAAAUAAAAAAUAAUAAUAGUGACACAAAUGAAUAUUUAUCAUUUUGCCGUUCUUUUUACAACAUUUGACCACUUAGUAAUGAAAAGACACAAGUUAAUCUCACAUCUAAUAAAAUAUCCAAUUCUUGAAAAAUUUGAUGUUCAAUAAAAAGGUAGAACUAGUAAUACCGGUUGUCCGUUUGUCAGGUCUAAUCAUAAUCUGACACCAACAAAAGUAUUUAUUUUAUUUUAACAUUAAACAAAAAGCUUAGAAAUCAUCAUCAUAAGCUACAAAGUAUUUUUGGUUCCAUUCGUUAUUGGAAAGGAAGACAGAUUGAUAGUAGCAUUCAUCAAGGAAGAUAAAGUUUAAAUUUCAUUCAGAAAUAACAACUUAAUGAAACCGAUGUAACUCUACACGCAUACAACACAGCGCAGUGUUUAUUGUUGUAUUGGCAGCAGUUUUGCGGCAACAACCAAGUAAAAUAAAACAUGUACUCUGAUGAAACGCUGACAAACAUCUUACUGAGGUUAGGCAUCGUAUCCCCACAUAUUCACUUAGAUGAAUAAAAUGCUAAUAUGUAGAUCUCCUCGCGUUUCUGUGCGAUGGACAUGUAACUGUAAGAGUCUAAUUUUAGUGUAAAACUGAAAUAAAAUGUGCAACACUGAAGUAAAAUGAAA